GAAAUGCGAUACUUGGUGUGAAUUGCAGAAUCCCGUGAACCAUCGAGUCUUUGAACGCAAGUUGCGCUCGAAGCCUUCGGGCCAAGGGCACGCCUGCCUGGGCGUCACGCACUGCGUCGCCCUAAACCUUACAAGGGUUUGGGCGGAGAUUGGCCCCCCGUGCGCUCUUAGCUCGCGGUCGGCCUAAAUACGGACCCCGUGGCCGCGAAGUGCCGCGACGUUUGGUGGUGUACUUCAUGGCCUCGCGUCGCGUCUUUCGCGGUCCUCUGGUGUCUAAGGACCCCUCAACCUUUGCGACCCCAGGUCAGGCGGGAUUACCCGCUGAGUUUAA
rnacentral:misc_RNA from 1 species